CAGACAGAGAGCUUAUCAGCAGGUGCAGGGAGAUACCCUGACAGCAAAAGAACUAACAAACAGGUAGGCGUCAGGUGAGAAUUGCAGUGUAAUAAACAUUCCUGUGCUGCCCUGCUCUAAGUGCCUCUUAACUUCACUUGGACCUAUGACCUUUUUUUUCUGAUUUUUUUUUUUUUUUGUUUUUAUUGUCUACUCUAUUUCCAAGAAAAGGUAUUGCAUACCAGGC